UUGCAUGUUAUGAGUCUAUAAAACACAUUAGGUUGGCGAUAAAAAUUAGAAUCGAAAUUAAAAUAGAUAAUAGUGAAAAUCAAAAUAAUUUAUUUCUCUAUGUAUUUGGUUCGUGAUCGAUAUCAGAAUCAAAAUAGAAAUAAAAUUUGAAUACAAAAUAAAAAUAAAAGUUAAAUUUUGAAAGAUUGAAAUAUUUGUAUUCUUCAAUAUAAUCAAAAUAGAAACGAAACUUUUCCC
rnacentral:lncRNA from 1 species